rnacentral:rRNA from 1 species
UUUGGAGGUUGUGGGCUUGACCCGUGGCUUCCGGAGCUAACGCGUUAAAUCGACCGCCUGGGGAGUACGGCCGCAAGGUUAAAACUCAAAUGAAUUGACGGGGGCCCGCACAAGCGGUGGAGCAUGUGGUUUAAUUCGAUGCAACGCGAAGAACCUUACCUACUCUUGACAUCCAGAGAAUUCGCUAGAGAUAGCUUAGUGCCUUCGGGAACUCUGAGACAGGUGCUGCAUGGCUGUCGUCAGCUCGUGUUGUGAAAUGUUGGGUUAAGUCCCGCAACGAGCGCAACCCUUAUCCUUUGUUGCCAGCACGUAAUGGUGGGAACUCAAAGGAGACUGCCGGUGAUAAACCGGAGGAAGGUGGGGAUGACGUCAAGUCAUCAUGGCCCUUACGAGUAGGGCUACACACGUGCUACAAUGGCAUAUACAAAGAGAAGCGAACUCGCGAGAGCAAGCGGACCUCAUAAAGUAUGUCGUAGUCCGGAUUGGAGUCUGCAACUCGACUCCAUGAAGUCGGAAUCGCUAGUAAUCGUAGAUCAGAAUGCUACGGUGAAUACGUUCCCGGGCCUUGCACUCACCGCCCGUCAAAA